rnacentral:rRNA from 1 species
UACGUAGGGGUGCAAGCGUUAAUCGGAAUUACUGGGCGUAAAGCGUGCGCAGGCGGCUAUGCAAGACAGAUGUGAAAUCCCCGGGCUCAACCUGGGAACUGCAUUUGUGACUGCAUGGCUAGAGUACGGUAGAGGGGGAUGGAAUUCCGCGUGUAGCAGUGAAAUGCGUAGAUAGUGCGGAGGAACACCGAUGGCGAAGGCAAUCCCCUGGAC